GACGAACGCUGGCGGCGUGCUUAACACAUGCAAGUCGAACGGUAAGGCCCUUCGGGGUACACGAGUGGCGAACGGGUGAGUAACACGUGGGUGAUCUGCCCUGCACUUCGGGAUAAGCCUGGGAAACUGGGUCUAAUACCGGAUAGGACUCCUGCCUGCAUGGGUGGGGGUGGAAAGCUUUUGCGGUGUGGGAUGGGCCCGCGGCCUAUCAGCUUGCUGGUGGGGUGAUGGCCUACCAAGGCGACGACGGGUAGCCGGCCUGAGAGGGUGACCGGCCACACUGGGACUGGGAUACGGCCCAGACUCCUACGGGAGGCAGCAGUGGGGAAUAUUGCACAAUGGGCGCAAGCCUGAUGCAGCGACGCCGCGUGAGGGAUGACGGCCUUCGGGCUGUAAACCUCUUUCAGCACAGACGAAGCGCAAGUGACGGUAUGUGCAGAAGAAGGACCGGCCAACUACGUGCCAGCCGCCGCCGUAA
rnacentral:rRNA from 1 species